rnacentral:rRNA from 1 species
AGCAAUCCCCCGGUAGGGUGGCGAACGGGUGAGUAAGACAUGGGAAUCUGUCCCGGAGAUGGGGAUAUCCUUCCGAAAGGAGGGUUAAUACCGAAUACCGUCCGGUGGGCGAGAGUCCAUCGGGGAAAGGGAGGCCUCUGGCAACAAGCUUCCGCUCCGGGAGGAGCCCAUGGCCCAUCAGCUAGUUGGGAGGGUAACGGCCUACCAAGGCGAAGACGGGUAGCUGGUCUGAGAGGACGAUCAGCCACACUGGCACUGAGACACGGGCCAGACUCCUACGGGAGGCAGCAGUGAGGAAUUUUGCGCAAUGGGGGCAACCCUGACGCAGCAACGCCGCGUGUGGGAAGAAGGCUUUCGGGUUGUAAACCACUUUUGUAAGGGACGAAGUCCUUUCGGCAAAUAACCGAGGGGGAUGACGGUACCUUGCGAAUAAGCCACGGCUAACUCUGUGCCAGCAGCCGCGGUAAGACAGGGGUGGCAAGCGUUGUUCGGAGUAACUGGGCGUAAAGGGUCUGUAGGUGGUUUGUCAAGUCUUUGGUAAAACGCCGUGGCUCAACCAUGGUUUGGCCAAGGAGACUGGGAGACUGGAGGCUGGGAGAGGGAAGCGGAAUUUCUGGUGUAGCGGUGAAAUGCGUAGAGAUCAGAAAGAAGGCCGGUGGCGAAGGCGGCUUCCUGGAACAGACCUGACACUGAGAGACGAAAGCGUGGGGAGCAAACAGGAUUAGAUACCCUGGUAGUCCACGCCCUAAACGAUGGGAACUAAGUGUGGGGAGCAAUCCCCGUGCCGCAGCUAACGCAAUAAGUUCCCCGCCUGGGGAGUACGGCCGCAAGGUUGAAACUCAANAGGAAUUGACGGGNGGCCCGCACAAAGCGGUGGGUGCAUGUGGGUUUAAUUCGACG